rnacentral:other from 1 species
AAAAACCUGAAAUGUGCGAGAACCCUGAUAUUUUGAACCUACAUUAUUUAAAAAGGGAUUCCGAUAAGACUGAGUAAUAUGCCAGGCCUCCGUUUUGCAGUGGACGGCAGAAAAGCAGGAUGAGGUUGCCCACCUAGCCGUGGCUAGGACUCAAAAUACAGGGAACGGCAUUUUGGGGAUUAG